GCGCCUGUAUUGGCAGCACAAAUACUAAAGUUGGACCAAUGCAGAAAUAAGCAUGCUCCCUGCUCAAGGAUGACAUGCAAAUUCAUGGACCUUUCCAUAGUAAA
ensembl:snRNA U6 U6 spliceosomal RNA